AGCGAAUAGAUACCCAGGUAGUCCACGCCGUAAACGAUGGAUACUAGCUGUUCGGAGCAAAUCUGAGUGGCUAAAGCGAAAGUGAUAAGUAUCCCACCUGGGGAGUACGCACGCAAGUGUGAAACUCAAAGGAAUUGACGGGGGCCCGCACAAGCGGUGGAGCAUGUGGUUUAAUUCGAUGAUACGCGAGGAACCUUACCAGGGCUUAAAUGUAGAUUGACAGGACUGGAAACAGUUUUUCUUCGGACAAUUUACAAGGUGCUGCAUGGUUGUCGUCAGCUCGUGCCGUGAGGUGUCAGGUUAAGUCCUAUAACGAGCGCAACCCUGUCGUUAGUUGCCAGCGAGUCAUGUCGGGAACUCUAACGAGACUGCCAGUGUAAACUGUGAGGAAGGUGGGGAUGACGUCAAAUCAUCACGGCCCUUACGUCCUGGGCCACACACGUGCUACAAUGGUAGGUACAGAGAGCAGCCACUGCGCGAGCAGGAGCGAAUCUACAAAACCUAUCUCAGUUCGGAUCGGA
rnacentral:rRNA from 1 species